CUCGUAGUUGGAUUUUGGGACGUGCAUUCACAUUCAUAAAGGUGUAAAAGCCUGUGGAAGCGUCUUACUGCUCUAUUGGCGCUAAGUCACCUUCACGGGUGGUUUGGUGUCAAGGUAGUUUGGCGUUGCGGGCUCGGUCCAUCAGUGUGCCUCGCAAGGGGCCUCCAUUGGUGUGUUAACCGGCCCGCCGUCCCCUCCUUCUGGAUUCCGUUCCUGCUAUUGAUUUAGUGGGAACGUCACAGGGGGUCAGUCGUAAAAAGCGGCUG
rnacentral:rRNA from 1 species